rnacentral:rRNA from 1 species
AUUGAACGCUGGCGGCAGGCCUAACACAUGCAAGUCGAACGAGUGGCGGACGUGUGAGUAAUGUCUGGGAAACUGCCUGAUGGAGGGGGAUAACUACUGGAAACGGUAGCUAAUACCGCAUACCCUCAGAUGUGCCCAGAUGGGAUUAGCUAGUUGGUGGGGUAACGGCUCACCAAGGCGACGAUCCCUAGCUGGUCUGAGAGGAUGACCGGCCACACUGGAACGGAGACACGGUCCAGACUCCUACGGGAGGCAGCAGUGGGGAAUAUUGCACAAUGGGCGCAAGCCUGAUGCAGCCAUGCCGCGUGUAUGAAGAAGGCCUUCGGGUUGUAAAGGACUUUCAGCGGGGAGGGGUUACCCGCAGAAGAAGCACCGGCUAACUCCGGGCCAGCAGCCGCGUAAUUC